rnacentral:misc_RNA from 1 species
AACGCACCUUGCGCCCUUUGGCUAUUCUGAAGGGCAUGCCUGUUUGAGUAUCAUGAACACCUCAACUCUCGUGGUCCGCCGCGAUGAGCUUGGACUUUGGGGGUCUUGCCGGCCUAGUGUCGGCUCCUCUCAAAUGGAUCAGCCUGCCAGUGUUUGGUGGCAUCACGGGUGUGAUAACUAUCUACGCUUGUGGUUUUCCACCAUGUAACCUUCAGCGAUGGAGGUUCGCUGGGGCUCACAGAUGUCUCUCCUCGGCGAGGACGGCUUUUGAACGUUUGAUCUCAAAUCAGGUAGGACUACCCGCUGAACUUAA